GGUGUUUGGCACCUCGAUGUCGGCUCAUCGCAUCCUGGGGCUGUAGUCGGUCCCAAGGGUUGGGCUGUUCGCCCAUUAAAGCGGUACGCGAGCUGGGUUCAGAACGUCGUGAGACAGUUCGGUCCCUAUCCGUCGUGGGCGUUGGAAGUUUGAGAGGAGCUGUCCUUAGUACGAGAGGACCGGGAUGGACAUACCGCUGGUGUACCAGUUGUUCCGCCAGGAGCAUAGCUGGGUAGCUACGUAUGGAAAGGAUAAGUGCUGAAAGCAUCUAAGCAUGAAGCCCCCCUCAAGAUGAGACUUCCCAUCAUUUUAAAUGAGUAAGAUCCCUCAGAGACGAUGAGGUUAAUAGGUUUGAGGUGGAAGCGUGGCGACACGUGGAGCUGACAAAUACUAAUCGAUCGAGGACUUAACUAAAUU
rnacentral:rRNA from 1 species